rnacentral:rRNA from 1 species
ACGGCCAUACCACAUUGAAAACACCGGUUCUCGUCCGAUCACCGAAGUUAAGCAAUGUCGGGCCUGGUAAGUACUUGGGAGAGUGACCACCUGGGAACACCGGGUGUUGUAAGCA